CCUACGGGUGGCUGCAGUGGGGAAUAUUGGACAAUGGGGGGAACCCUGAUCCAGCCAUGCCGCGUGUGUGAAGAAGGCCCUCGGGUUGUAAAGCACUUUCAGUGAGGAAGAACGCCUGGUGGUUAAUACCCAUCAGGAAAGACAUCACUCACAGAAGAAGCACCGGCUAACUCCGUGCCAGCAGCCGCGGUAAUACGGAGGGUGCGAGCGUUAAUCGGAAUUACUGGGCGUAAAGCGCGCGUAGGUGGCUUGAUAAGCCGGUUGCGAAAGCCCCGGGCUCAACCUGGGAACGGCAUCCGGAACUGUCAAGCUAGAGUGCAGGAGAGGAAGGUAGAAUUCCCGGUGUAGCGGUGAAAUGCGUAGAGAUCGGGAGGAAUACCAGUGGCGAAGGCGGCCUUCUGGACUGACACUGACACUGAGGUGCGAAAGCGUGGGUAGCAAACAGGAUUAGAUACCCUAGUAGUC
rnacentral:rRNA from 1 species